AUACCGACCAGGAGUGCGUUUUCCAAAAGCAUCGUUGCUAACUACGGUAGCAACUAACAUGGUUGCAACUAUGUAUGGGUAGGCCUGUCAUGGGAGGGGGAAAAAUGGCCAGCAGGAAGGUGUGCAGCAGCCACCGGAAUGACCUCUUCCACCUCCUCCACUAACAGCUCCUCAUCAGCCGGCAGUGGGAUGUGAUCCUGAAGGGCCAUGUUGCAGAAGCGACGUCACCAAAAUUACACUGCACGCCUUUGCAGGAUGGAGCUUCAGGCCACCAGCGGAUUUGCUCACACACCUUUCCACAUGCCCAGGGCCCUCUCCACAACAACGUGGGUCCGGCUAUGGGCGUUGUUGUACCGCGCCUCUGCCUCGCUAUUGGGCUCCUAGAUGGAGCAGUUGACAUGCUUGUAUUAUCAUAGGGGGUUGAUGGAAUAAAGUAGGUCUUGAAAUGUCAGUGCACUCAGGGAAUAUAGACAUGCAUUUGAAAACAACAGUAUAGACUUUGCUACUAUCUCAGCAGCAGAAGGCAACAACAUGAGCAGCACCUACAGUAACACUGUGUGUGUGUGUGUGUGUUGGUACAGCUGGCGCAGAUCCUUCAACCAUUUGAGCAUUGAAACAUUUGUGCUAUGUGAACUGUCAUUUUUUGGUUGUGAUUCAACACACAACUUCAUAACUACAAUGGAUAAAAAGUAAUGGUAAAAAAACUGUAUCUGUGCAUUUAAAAUAUCAUGAAAUACUUGUGUGUGGUAACAGUAUUCAGUUUUCAGUGUCACAAUGAAAACACAUAACAAGGGCAACAUUGGAAAAAUGCUGCAUAAAGGCAUGACAAAAUCCCAUUGAAAUGAAGGGCAAUCAUACAGUAAAGUAUUAAUUUAUAUAGCGCUUUUAGAGUGAAAGAGUGAAACCCAAAGCACUUACACAACAACAUGUUGUUCAACAUUGUUCAUAUUACAUAUCCAUAUUUAUUCUGCUCUUACUGUAAGGUAACUGCUAAGAUACUGCACAUAUUUAUAUUUCAUUUAUAUUACUCUAAAUCACCUUCU